rnacentral:rRNA from 1 species
AAAACAGGAGUUAACGCUGGCGGCGUGCCUAACACAUGCAAGUCGAGCGAGCUUGUAGCAAUACAAGUUAGCGGCAAACGGGUGAGUAACACAUGGGAAACCUCCCUCAAAAUGGGGAACAUCUCCGAGAAAUCGGAGCUAAUACCGCAUAAGACCACAGUCCGGCAUCGGACAGGGGUAAAAGCAGUAAUGCGUUUUGAGAUGGUCCUGUGUCCUAUCAGCUAGUUGGUGAGGUAACGGCUCACCAAGGCUAAGACGGGUAUCCGGCCUGAAAGGGUGAACGGACACACUGGAACUGAGACACGGUCCAGACUCCUACGGGAGGCAGCAGUGGGGAAUUUUGGACAAUGGGGGAAACCCUGAUCCAGCGACGCCGCGUGAAGGAUGAAGGCCUUCGGGUUGUAAACUUCUUUUGGAGGGGACGAAUAAAUUGACGGUACCCUCAGAAAAAGCCACGGCUAACUACGUGCCAGCAG